UUUGGUACUGGCAAUGAUGUCUGCCUUGAACCGCCCUUAACUGGGCUGAUGGCGUCUACAGUUAC
rnacentral:ncRNA from 2 species